ACAUGCAAGUCGAACGAUGAACCUCACUUGUGGGGGGAUUAGUGGCGAACGGGUGAGUAACACGUGAGUAACCUGCCCUUAACUCUGGGAUAAGCCUGGGAAACUGGGUCUAAUACCGGAUAUGACUCCUCAUCGCAUGGUGGGGGGUGGAAAGCUUUUUGUGGUUUUGGAUGGACUCGCGGCCUAUCAGCUUGUUGGUGAGGUAAUGGCUCACCAAGGCGACGACGGGUAGCCGGCCUGAGAGGGUGACCGGCCACACUGGGACUGAGACACGGCCCAGACUCCUACGGGAGGCAGCAGUGGGGAAUAUUGCACAAUGGGCGCAAGCCUGAUGCAGCGACGCCGCGUGAGGGAUGACGGCCUUCGGGUUGUAAACCUCUUUCAGUAGGGAAGAAGCGAAAGUGACGGUACCUGCAGAAGAAGCGCCGGCUAACUACGUGCCAGCAGCCGCGGUAAUACGUAGGGCGCAAGCGUUAUCCGGAAUUAUUGGGCGUAAAGAGCUCGUAGGCGGUUUGUCGCGUCUGCCGUGAAAGUCCGGGGCUCAACUCCGGAUCUGCGGUGGGUACGGGCAGACUANAGUGAUGUAGGGGAGACUGGAAUUCCUGGUGUAGCGGUGAAAUGCGCAGAUAUCAGGAGGAACACCGAUGGCGAAGGCAGGUCUCUGGGCAUUAACUGACGCUGAGGAGCGAAAGCAUGGGGAGCGAACAGGA
rnacentral:rRNA from 1 species